AUACUUACCUGGCAGGGGAGAUACCAUGAUCACAGAGGUGGUUUCCCCAGGGCGAGGCUUCUCCAUUGCUAUUGGAUGUGCUGACCCCGCAAUUUCCCCAGAUGUGGAAACUCCACUGCAUAAUUUGUGGUUGUGGGGGACUGCAUUCGUGCUCUCCCCUU